AGUCGUACCAAGGUUUCCGUAGGUGAACCUGCGGAAGGAUCAUUAUAGUAUGAACUGAGAGUUGUAGCUGGCUUUAUUCAAGGCAAUGUGCUCGCUCUCUAUUUCAAUCCAUACACACCAUUUGUGCACCUUGACGAGUCCCUCCCAGAUCCUUUGGAACUGGAGUCGUUUCAAGCCUGCAAGGGUUUGAAACUGAGUCGGCUUGUCUCUUCAUAUACACUAAUACCAGUUUAAAUGCAUGUCAGUCGGCUCUAUGGAGCUUUAACAAAAUACAACUUUCAACAACGGAUCUCUUGGCUUCCACAUCGAUGAAGAACGCAGCGAACGUGCGAAACGUAACGUGAAUUGCAGAAUUCAGUGAAUCAUCGAAUCUUUGAACGCAUCUUGCGCCCCUUGGUAUUCCGAGGAGCAUGCCUGUUUGAGUGUCGUGAAUACUCUCAAACUUAACCUUUUUUUCUUUAUUGAAGGAAGGUUAUAGUUUGGACUUGGAUGUUGCUGCUAUUUUAUUAUAGCAGCUCGUCUCGAAAUGCAUUAGCUGGUCCGCCGCGGUUUAUAACUCAUAAUGGUGUGAUAAGAAACAAUUUCAUUGUUGAUUUGUAGCGCUGUUGUUAUAAACUUGAAGUGACUGCUUCUAAUAGUCUCUUGACUGAGACAAUAACUUCAUGUCAUCUGACCUCAAAUCAGGUAGGACUACCCGCUGAACUUAACAUAUCCA
rnacentral:rRNA from 1 species